ensembl:lncRNA
AAAAGAUAUAUAUAUAUAUAUAUAUGUUUUAAUAUGGCCUACAUCUGAUUCUGCAGGUUUAUUAACCAAAGUGUCUAGUCCUCUAGAUGUCACUGCUACCCAUGUAAUACCUAAUGUUGACAACACAGAGAGGGUCACUGACCUCUGUUCGUUCUUCCAGACGUUCCCUUCAGUGCCCUAUAUACUGCAGACACUAUGAGAAUCACUCUGAGAUCAAUUGGACACAAAGCAUUCAUGGAGAGGAAAAGAAAGGAGUCAGAGUUGGGAGAGGUGCUCAGACAGAUUGUUUGGGAACUAAACUGAAGGGGCUGCACAUUGUCUCCACUAGACACAGAGUUUUGCUGAUGUCUGCAUAUGGAUUUUGUCAAGGUCAUAUUUGGAUUUGGUAA